rnacentral:rRNA from 1 species
GACGAACGCUGGCGGCGUGCUUAACACAUGCAAGUCGAACGGAAAGGCCCUGCUUUUGUGGGGUGCUCGAGUGGCGAACGGGUGAGUAACACGUGAGUAACCUGCCCUUGACUUUGGGAUAACUUCAGGAAACUGGGGCUAAUACCGGAUAGGAGCUCCUGCUGCAUGGUGGGGGUUGGAAAGUUUCGGCGGUUGGGGAUGGACUCGCGGCUUAUCAGCUUGUUGGUGGGGUAGUGGCUUACCAAGGCCUUGACGGGUAGCCGGCCUGAGAGGGUGACCGGCCACAUUGGGACUGAGAUACGGCCCAGACUCCUACGGGAGGCAGCAGUGGGGAAUAUUGCACAAUGGGCGGAAGCCUUAUGCAGCAACGCCGCGUGCGGGAUGACGGCCUUCGGGUUGUAAACCGCUUUCGCCUGUGACGAAGCGUGAGUGACGGUAAUGGGUAAAGAAGCACCGGCUAACUACGUG